CGCAGGGGUUGUGGGAAAACCGGUUUGCUCUCAAACCCUAACCUCACCUGUCACGGUGUCACCCAUGGUGGACGCACCCAACGCACUUGCCUCCGACGCCGAUCACCCCGUCCCGCCGUCCCGCCUCCUUUCUAAGCACCGCCCGCGCCGCCGCGCCGCGGCCCCUCGCCCGCCCCUGCCACCACCUGCGCCGCCAGCGCCCGCGCGUGGCCUGCCCGAUCUCAGCCUGUGCCACUGCUGCGGCGUCCGCUUCCCAACGCCCCAGCCGGGGACCAGGCCCAAGCGCCGCCCGGUCCGUCCACUCAGCUCCCUAUGGCGCGUCGUCCUCCUCUGCACCGAAUGCCUCUCCCUCGUCCGCUCCGCCGCUGUAUGCUCCUACUGCCUCUCCCUCGACAACCUGCCGCCCGAGGACUCCGCCGUCGUCUGCCGCCACUGCAAGCGCUGUGUCCACCGAUCCUGUAUCUCCGCCGAACACCGCACGACGGUGAUCCAGCCGGUUGAUGUGGAGGAUUUCCUCUGCGUCGAUUGCUGCCCCACCGUGAGAUCGAAGAACGGGGGCUUCAAUUUGGGGCUGAAUCUGGAGACUUGCUUCUGGGAUCGUACCUCCGUUGCUGGGGAGAAUUCUCUGAGGAAGGCUGCGGAGGUGAAGAUGGCUUCCAAGCGGGGGAACAACGCUGUUGGCAGCAGUGGGUUAGUGGGGAGGAACAGUGGUGUUCCGGUUCUACUGGACGAAGAGUUAGCUUUGCAGCUGCACCUGGCAAUGAAUGGAUCACAGAGGAUUUCACGUUCAGGUAAUUCAUCUGGUGGUGGCUCUGCCGAGACAGGCAAGGGGAAGAAUGAUGGGGUUUGUGGUAGGAUUUGCAACAUAAAUCAGGAGAUUUGUGUAACCAAUAUGAUGGCUCAGCUUGAUGAAGAAGAAGAACCAGGUUGCAACAGGGUUUUAAAGUGCCUUAGGAGUUCUGAUUCCUCUGUCACAGUGGUUCUUGCGCUGGAAUGUGUGAAAGGUAAACACACUGAGGAGAGCAUGAAAGCUAAAAGAAAAGGUCCUCAUGUGAUUACACAGCAGGAUGAUUUGGUGGAUCCCUAUAAGAAGAAGUAUAGCAAAAGGAGCUCAAGCAAGUUGGCAAAAGAUGAAUAUGUUGCGAGCCGGAACAUGUGUGAUGGGUUGGACAUAGAUGCUGAUCAUGGUGGUAAUGGGGUGGCUCCUAUGAAAUAGACUGCUUGUGCCAUUCUGAGGUUAUUGUUGGCAACAGGAGAUGGCACCGCAGCCAGAAACUAGAAAAAUGAACAUAGUAACUUUUGUUUGUGACCAUAUGGAACCAACAGCAGCAGUACUUUUAAAACAGCUCACCAUCGAUAUAGUUGCUGGUUUUCCUGAUUACAUGCUGCAACAGCUUCACAUUAGAAGAAUCUGAUGAGGCUUCUGUGGAAUUAUGAGCUGAGAUGAACCUGAUAUCGAUGCUCUUUUCUAUAAAGUUGGUCAAACUUAAAAAAGUUUAACUGGCAUGGAUUCUAGGAGUUGAAGCUUUCAGGGACAGAGGGAGUAGUAAAUUGCAAGGAAGCCCUUUGCAUCUGUUCACAGAUUGCAAUCAGUUUUGCGUGCUCCGAAGCUCAUAGCUUAAUUGAUGCUCUCGCAAGGCUGCACAAGGUGGGCUGAAUCUUCAAGGAGGGCAAAGGAGCAUGAAGAGGAGGGCUGGAUUUAUAUACUGUAAUGUUUGACUAUGUUCCUUUCAUGUACAAAAUUUCAAUGGAUGUUUCUUCUGAUGGUAGAUCCAGUUAAUUUUUGUGAAAUUUUGAGAUAAAGAUAGUUCCAAAUUUGUUGAUUGUCAUGCUAACCAUGACCUCUCAUUUACCUGGACUUUUUUGCCUAUCGGCAUAACCAGAACCAUUUUUUUCUCUUCUACUGUUCUCGUGAAUAUUGGUCUUGCAGAGGCUCUAUCUGGUUUGGACGUUUCCUGUUUAACAAUGAGAGUAUUGGUUUUGCAGA